AGAGUUUGAUCCUGGCUCAGGAUGAACGCUAGCUACAGGCUUAACACAUGCAAGUCGAGGGGCAGCAUGGGGGUUGCUCGCAACCCCUGAUGGCGACCGGCGCACGGGUGAGUAACGCGUAUCCGACCUUCCCGCGGCAGGGGCAUAACCCGGUGAAAGCCGGACUAAUUCCCCGUGGUCCCCACACAGGCCAUCCUUCGUGGGGUAUAGGACUCGUCCGGCCGCGGACGGGGAUGCGUCCGAUUAGCUAGUUGGCGGGGUAACGGCCCACCAAGGCACCGAUCGGUAGGGGUUCUGAGAGGAAGGCCCCCCACAUUGGGACUGAGACACGGCCCAAACUCCUACGGGAGGCAGCAGUGAGGAAUAUUGGUCAAUGGGCGCGAGCCUGAACCAGCCAAGUAGCGUGGAGGACGACGGCCCUACGGGUUGUAAACUCCUUUUGCGCGGGGAUAAAGUGCGCGACGUGCUCGCGCAUUGCAGGUACCGCGCGAACAAGGACCGGCCAAUUCCGUGCCAGCAGCCGCGGUAAUACGGAAGGUCCGGGUGUUAUCCGGAUUUAUUGGGUUUAAAGGGAGCGCAGACUGCCUGUCAAGCGUGCAGUGAAACGCCGCGGCCCAACCGCGGCCCUGCUGCGCGAACUGGCGGGCUUGAGUGGGCUGGAGGCACGCGGAAUUCGUGGUGUAGCGGUGAAAUGCUCAGAUAUCACGAGGAACCCCGAUUGCGAAGGCAGCGUGCCGCGUCCCUACUGACGUUGAGGCUCGAAGGUGCGGGUAUCGAACAGGAUUAGAUACCCUGGUAGUCCGCACGGUAAACGAUGGAUGCAACGGUGAAACUCAAAGGAAUUGACGGGGGCCCGCACAAGCGGAGGAACAUGUGGUUUAAUUCGAUGAUACGCGAGGAACCUUACCCGGGCUUGAACCGCGGGGGAAAGACUCAGAGACGAGGAUGUCCCUCGGGACUCCCGCGGAGGUGCUGCAUGGUUGUCGUCAGCUCGUGCCGUGAGGUGUCGGCUUAAGUGCCAUAACGAGCGCAACCCCUCUGCGCAGUUGCCAUCGGGUGAUGCCGGGGACUCUGCGCACACUGCCGCCGCAAGGUGCGAGGAAGGUGGGGAUGACGUCAAAUCAGCACGGCCCUUACGUCCGGGGCUACACACGUGUUACAAUGGGGGGCACAGCGUGGCGCGCGUGCGCGAGCACGCGCCAAUCAAUAAAUCCCCCCUCAGUUCGGACUGGGGUCUGCAACCCGACCCCACGAAGCUGGAUUCGCUAGUAAUCGCGCGCCCGGAGUCCCAUAGCUCAGUUGGUCAGAGCGCCACACUGAUAAUGUGGAGGCCGGCAGUUCAAGUCUGCCUGGGACUACGCGUCCCG
rnacentral:sRNA from 1 species